rnacentral:sRNA from 1 species
CGAAGAUUUGCAUUAGAUAAAUU